rnacentral:rRNA from 1 species
UACGUAGGUCGCAAGCGUUGUCCGGAUUUACUGGGCGUAAAGAGCGCGCAGGCGGUCGAUGAAGUCGCGUGUGAAAGCCCCCGGCUCAACUGGGGAGGGUCACGCGAUACUGAUCGACUCGAAGGCAGGAGAGGGAAGUGGAAUUCCCGGUGUAGUGGUGAAAUGCGUAGAUAUCGGGAGGAACACCAGUGGCGAAGGCGACUUCCUGGCCUGUUCUUGACGCUGAGGCGCGAAAGCUAGGGGAGCAAACGGG